AGGACGAACGCUGGCGGCGUGCUUAACACAUGCAAGUCGAGCGGAAAGGCCCUUCGGGGUACUCGAGCGGCGAACGGGUGAGUAACACGUGAGUAAUCUGCCCCUAGCUCUGGGAUAGCUCCGGGAAACCGGGAUUAAUACCAGAUACGACCACUUUAGACAUCUGUUGUGGUGGAAAGAAUUUUGGCUAGGGAUGAGCUCGCGGCCUAUCAGCUUGUUGGUGAGGUAACGGCUCACCAAGGCGACGACGGGUAGCCGGCCUGAGAGGGCGACCGGCCACACUGGGACUGAGACACGGCCCAGACUCCUACGGGAGGCAGCAGUGGGGAAUAUUGCGCAAUGGGCGAAAGCCUGACGCAGCGACGCCGCGUGGGGGAUGAAGGCCUUCGGGUUGUAAACCCCUUUCAGCAGGGACGAAGCGAAGUGACGGUACCUGCAGAAGAAGCGCCGGCUAACUACGCGCCAGCAGCCGC
rnacentral:rRNA from 1 species